GAGGAUUUAGCUCAGUGGUAGAGCACUUGCCUAGCAAGCACAAGGCCCUGGGUUCAGUCCCCAGCUCC
rnacentral:tRNA from 1 species